UGACAGCACGGCUGCAUCGCAAGCGAAAGUUAUAUGUAAAAUUCUUAGUUUCCCCCCUUAUUAUUUUGUUUUCUAUCAUUAGUUUACAACUUCUAUGUCCGAAAAGUGCAAUGGAGUUAAAUCAUACGAGAGUGACACAGAGGCUAGUGAACCGAACAAUGGUAUACGCAGAUUUUCUAUUGCCGACGCUUCGAAAGAAAGUGUCUCGAUUAAAGAUGUUUUCAGAGGUUUCGAGAAGAGCCCUGUAGUCACACUGACGCGGGCUGAUAUAUCGCCGUAUCUCAAGAAUAUGAGACAGAAAUCCAUUGAGAAAACUGAACUGGAAAAGUGCUUAUCGAAGUUGGAUUUUGCCGUGCAUUCUAGACGGCUGGGCGACAAGUGCUCAAUCGGCGUUCUGCGCCACGACCUUGAACAGCUCAAAAUGGCCUUCCAAAAGGAUCCUAACGAUCCUAUUUUUAAUUCCUGCUUCAAUAUCGCUAAGCUUAAAUGUAAGAUUUGCAAAAAGGUUUACUCCAGCGAGAAGAAGCUUCAGAAUCAUCAGGAGAACAAGCACAUGCUCGUUUACAAGUCGAACGACAAGGCGCAGAAGCGGGUGUCGUUCUCCGACCAGGUGAUCGUGCACGAGGUCAAGGAAUACCACAAAUGUAGGAAGUGCACCAAGAUAUUUGAGAAAUAUAACCUCCUCAAACGCCACAUGAAGCAAAGACACAAGAAGCGUAAGUGUUACAUUUGCAAUUAUUGUAACAAAAACUUUGUUGAUAGGAUGUUUUUCAAAGUGCAUAUAAAAUUGCACUGUGACAUCUGCGGGGACCUCUCGCCCAACAGGUCUUCGUACAUCGAGCACCGACGGAGAGUGUGCAAGGUGCUGAAGUUCCACAAGUGUAAGACUUGUGAAGAGUCAUUUUUCAAGUUCAUGGAUUUGAAAGACCAUAGUUACGAUCAUUUGCCGACAACUUUUGUCUGUGACAUCUGUAAAGACCAGUUUCCAUCUAAAUGUGCUGUGGCACACCACAUUUCGUUCCUUCACUCUAAGCCUCGUCCAAAUUCCUUGUACAGUAUGCGCACACUAGGAAGCGAGAGAUUAUACUUGUGCAACUUUUGUGAAGAGAGCUCGGUAGAACGGGAUGAAAUAGAGAAACAUGUAGCAUUAUUGCCGGACUUAACUAACCGUGCCAUGACGGGUUACAAGGACUACUAUUUCUGCGAUCAGUGUAUGAAAAAGUUUGACGUUGAAACAGAUAUGCUUCAACACAAAUGGACGCAUUUCCUGAAGACCAGCGACAACUCCCAGCUGCGGCCGAACAUUGUAAAACCUAAAACGGACUUCCAGAGGUUUUACAAAGUAGACGAGGUCCCGGAUCACAUGCAGCCGCAGGUUAUAUUGGAACGGAUCAAAGUAGGAGGGAAAGAGUUGACGGAUUCCAUUGACUUUGUGGACGUAAACUGCUUCGAUGAGUACACGGGGGAGAUAAAGAAACCUGUGGUUGACCCUGUGUCGAAGAAGACUAUAAUAUCUAAACAUCAGUGUCAGAUAUGUGGAAAAUACUAUUCCACUAACUAUUGCCUCAACCGCCACAUAGUCAGCCAGCACUCCGACUACGAGAACCUCAAAUGCAAGGUCUGCGAAGAAACCUUCUACUGGCCGUCCCUCCUCCACAACCACAAAUGUAUCCGUCUCAACCUCCCCGAGAUACCGUUCGACGAUGCCAGACCGGAGAUCCACUUCGACAACUUAAAUGAGAUACAGCUCGAUGACUUACCGAUCAAUGAUGAUUAUAUACACACAGUGGACUUUGAGAUACCUGCCCCGGUGGUUGAAUUGGCUGAGUAUAAUUGGGGGCAGAGACAGGAUAUACAGAACUGUUAUAGUGGAUGCAAGAUUGUUAUGCAGGAGGUGCCCAUUGAGUUUUAAGUCUGUAUCUUUAGGUACUUAUCUAAAUAAAAGUAAACAAUUAGAACAUUUUCGGGUACUUACAACAUUUAUUGGCUAACCGACGGAAUUCAAAACCGCCUGGAUCAGUCAGUGAACGACAUGACUUUAACCUACAUUAUUUGAUCGUGUAAUGUUUUCAUCUACCCUCAACUGGCUUAAGGAGCCAUUUGAAGGUACAUAUUGUUUACUUUUAUUUAAAUACCUAAAGAUACGGAGUAAAGGGUGUUCCACUUGUACAGUGUCACUGCGUCUCUCUCUCAUUAAGCAAAAUGUGAGACGCAAUACACAUUGGACAAAGAAAUUGGAUAGGUGGAAUACCCUUAUACCGGGUGUGGCCUGUAACAUGAGCAAAUAAUUAAAACAUAGAUUGUACUCCUCAAACGGUGACACUUUUGUUCAACAACUUUUAAAAAUUAUGACGUAUUUAGACUCCCUAUUUUUUAUACAAAAUAAAUACUAUCUUCAAUGGACGCCAUCGCCACGCCAUAUCAUUGUGAUUGACGUUGCUUGUCACGCCUUAAAUAAAUAAUAAAUAAAUAAAUAUUAUAGGACAUUUUUACACAAAUUGACUAAGUCCCACGGUAAGCUCAAGAAGGCUUGUGUUGUGGGUACUUAGACAACGAUAUAUGUAAUACAUAAAUACUUAAAUACCUACAUAGAAAACAACCAUGACUCAGGAACAAAUAUUUGUAUCAUCAUACUUAAACAUAACAAAACUCGCAAUACAUUGCGUCUUAGAAUAAACUUUAAACGCUCUUAAAAAUCAAACCAAAAGUUAUUUUUAAAAGUCGCUGAACAAAUGUUGGUCAGUAUGAGGAGUACAGUCUACAGUUUAAUUUUUUGCUCAUAUUACAGGCCACACCCGGUAUGAGUAAAGUCUAUGAAAAAAUCGUGCUAGCGUGACAGCUGAGUUAGAUGGCGCGGUCCAAAUAUUGCGGUAAACUAGGACCCUAAAUGGUGUAACAAUCGCGGUGCGUGAUUGUACAAUGAAUGAGUAUGUGGUUUUAAGUGUUAACGUGUAAUAUAUGAUAAAAUUGAUGAAUGUGGUGCACAGAUUAUGACGAAGUUAGUUAUUUGGUUAUUUAAUAUAUAAAUUAACGGGUUGUUACGCGGGUAGAAUCGCACUUUUAACACAUAUGAAGCGUUUUGAAUGAAGCUAAUAUCGCGAAUUUCUUCUAAAAACGAAGUCUGUCUAGUGUAAAUUUCAUUCGAUAGCGUGACGCGACGUACGCGUUUGCGAGUCAUUUGUAUGGGAUUAUGACUUUCCAAAACGUCCCGUUUAACGCACUGUUCAAAAACCCAUACAAAAAUAUACAACGCAAACGCUCGUCACGCUAUCGAAUGAAAGGACUAUGCGUCAAAAUGUUCCCAAAAGCACUGAGAUAUUGGUAUUUUAGUCAAAAUGUUCUAUAAUCUGUUGUUGUAGGUUGUACAGUCAGCAGCAGAAGUCGCUAUACACUCCAGGUGCUCAAAGAGAGGUAAACGAUUAAACUGUCAAAAAGUUGUUGACUGUCAUGGUAGUAUUUACUUGUGAGCGCUCAACGUGUCACAAAUAUGUUAACAGUCGCUAUUCAUUAAUUUCUACACUUACAACAAGUCAUUGAUACCUUAGCUGUCAAAAAACCAAUAGUAUCUAAGCGGUCAACGUGUCAAAUAUAUCUGAACAAUAUGGAAAAAUAGACUUUAAAGCAUACAAGUAUGGUCGAAUAUUGAAUAAAUGAUAGCCAUGCUAAUUUCAGGUAAAGCGUUUUGACAAUCAUCGAAAGCAGUACAGUCUUGUCAUCACAUACAUCUAUCUCACGUUUUGCCCUUCAACCAUUUGACAGGAGCCUCUCGGUCAACUUACUGCAAACUAUUUCUUUUAACAGAAUCGUCAAGACGAAUGACACAUAGCAAAAGCUAACUGAAGCCGAAUUUAGAGCCAAUUGUCAAGGCACGUCGUGGUCUCAGUAAC